UCAUAAUAUUGUAUUUAUUUACAUUAGUUGCCAUUGUAGGUAAACAACGCAUCUAAACUAUCUAUCUGACCGUUUACUAAAAACUUACAACUACCGUUUCAAAACUUUUCAGUUUACCACCAUUUCAGCCUUGAUCGAUUCCCUCCAUUGAAACCACAGAUUCUCCAACAUUAGAUUCCCCCAAACCCUCUAAUGUCUUUCAAAAUCUGGGUUCCCAGGCGCAUUCCUUUCAUCAGCCCAGUUGUAAAGAGAAUACGAGAACGACCGAAGCAUUCGAUUCCAGAGCAUUCGACACUGACUAGCAAGCGUGAGUGGUCUGCCGUCAAAUAGCAGGUUGAUGAAUUUUCUCGUACAUCAGUUCGUCCAACCUGGGCUGUAGGAGAAGUUAGUCCUAGACUGAACCUGACUCCAUUUGCUUUGAUGGAGGGAGGGGCAUUAGCCAAAACAUUUUUUCUGAAUGUCCCAACAAAACCUGAUUACAGGUAUCCUAGCUAGCUUCUUAGCCAGCUGAUAACACUUGGAGAUGUUAUUAAUUCUAGAGGUGCUCCAUAAUCUAUACAAGUAGAGUAGGCCCUUCAUAAAAGGGUUUAAGAUGAGCAUUACGUAACGAGUAUGAUUACUUUCAAAUUUCAGAUUUAUCAUUCUAUAUCUCAUUAUGUAGAUUUUUCUCCUUUCUUGUUGUGAUGGUUAUGUACCAACACGAAAUUCUGGAGUAUUUUAGUUUACCUACAUGAACAAGGUAUCUGGGUAUUAGUUUGCCUACACCAAAUAGAUGGGUUUUUUUUAGCCUAUAUAAUUUUGAGAAAAUCUUGUAUAUUGAUAACAGUUGACUCCAUGUGUGUUAAUUGGAGGUAAAUUGUGUUCCAAAUUUGGUGUGGAUCAACAAAACAGUUUGGUCAUAUAAUAUAUAUUGCUUUUGAUAACCUAAUAA